UACGAAGGGGGCUAGCGUUGCUCGGAAUCACUGGGCGUAAAGCGCACGUAGGCGGGUCUUUAAGUCAGGGGUGAAAUCCUGGAGCUCAACUCCAGAACUGCCUUUGAUACUGAGGAUCUCGAGUCCGGGAGAGGUGAGUGGAACUCCGAGUGUAGAGGUGAAAUUCGUAGAUAUUCGGAAGAACACCAGUGGCGAAGGCGGCUCACUGGCCCGGUACUGACGCUGAGGUGUGAAAGCGUGGGGAGCAAACAGG
rnacentral:rRNA from 1 species